rnacentral:lncRNA from 10 species
UUUUUUUGGCAUGACUUCUUAAAAAAACCCUGGAUCACAGCUCCAGAUGUUCUGUUUAUGUAACUGCUAACCCCCUAACCUCAUCCACCAUCACCACCUCACUCUUAGCUUCCCCCUGCCCAGGAAUUCUUCCUUCUAAAACUCAAUGCAAGAAUCAAGUACUCUUUCAUCAUAUUUACCAACAUGUUCUUACUUUAUUUUCUGGAUUUUGGGAGGUAAAAGGGCAGUCAACUAGGGGGCAAAAUAAAAUCAACCUUGAUCAUGGCUCUCACGAAUGGUUUUUCCUUAGGGAUAGAAGCAUUGACCUUGAAUACAUUAGGAAAGCUGAAGAAUCUGGGUCAACAUUGGAAAAUGUCCAUAUUAACAAAGAAAAAGGAGCUUGGUUUGCCAGAAAAGAUAUUGCAAUCUCUCCCUCGAUCAGAUUUGCUAAUUCUUGUGAAUGCUUGUGAAACACCUCGGGUCUCAAAUCCAAAUCACAUGAAGAACUAGGCCCUUGAGCACAUCAUUGGUGCUGUCUCUUUGACAAAAAGCAUUUUUAGUUGAUGGAAAAUCACCAACUUUCACCCCUAAAAACAUCUGUGAAGAGCAGAAAACAGCCUGACUCUUAUAGAUGUCCCUGACAGCUGAGCUCCACCACCUCUCAUCAGUUAACUCUCGCAUUCACUCACCCCACAAUCAAAUAAUUCCCUUCUAAUUCUCUUCUUUGAUAGCAAGCCAACCCUGGGAGAAACAAUGGUUUGGAACAAUAGCACCUGAGGUGGAAGAAAACACAGUGGGCCUCUCACUUUCGCUCUCUAACCACAACAAUUGAAAGAGACUAUGGCCUGAAAAAUCUAUCUGCUCCUAAAUGGUACCCAGAUGGAAAUCACAGCUGCUGUCAUGUACCACCUGUACCUACGCCCAUCCAUCUUCAGAACACGCCUGGGGCAGAGGAGAGAAAUCGAGUUGACAGAGCAGUUAAAGAGCCUCUCUUUUCUCCUGCAUACUUUUCCUUUUAUCUUUUUCUCUUCAGUUUCAGAGCUUCUUGUUCUCACCUUCAUGCUGUGGCAAUGCUGACAAAAGAAAACUGCAGCCUCUGAGAACCAGUGUUCUGGAGACUGAGACAUCCAAGGUUGGCGGGGGGCACAUCUGGGAAACUGGGAAACUGACACUUCCUGCCUUAUAUUGUUGCAGUUGCAAAGAUCAAAUACCAAGGUUAUGGGAAGAUGUUUUGAAGCCCCAUAUAAAUAUGUAAUUUAAUUUAUUCCAAUAAAGACUCAUUGCACAGGCUGGGCACAAUGGCUCACACCUCUCAUUUCAGCUCUUUGGGAGGUCAAGGUGGGCCGAUUGCUUGAGCCCAGGAGUUCGCGACCAGCCUGGGCAAUAUGAUGAAACCCCAUUUCUACAAAAAAAAUACAAAAAUUAGCUGGGUGUGGAGGUGUGCAUGCUUGUAGUCCCAGCUACUUGAGAGGCUGAGUGGGAGAUCGCUUGAGCUUGAGAGGCAGGGAUUGCAGUGAGCCGAGAUUAUGCCACUGCACUCCAGCCUGGGCGACAGAGCAAGACCAUGUGUCAAAAACAAACCAACCAACAAACAAACAAAGACUCAUUGCACAUAUAAGCAAUAGAUCAACCAUUUUCAAAGAGCAUAACCAAAAAAAAAAUCCAACACUACACAAAUCUUGAAUAUAAUUUAACCUUUCUUCGAAAGUUUAGAAAGUAUUUCAAGAUGAGGCAAUGCUUUUCUCUAACAUUAACAUGAGCAUCGAUUACAGAAAUGUUCCACUGAAUUACAUGGCAAAAUUAAAAUUCUGAUGAUUUUAUGUACAUGGUUGCUUGAAAUAUGAGCUAUCAGUAGCUACUAUAUCCCAUUAGGCCUUUCAAGUUCACAUCAUAAGUUGUAUAAGAGAUAGGACACCUCCAUUGAAAACAUCAGUCGACUUAGACGAUUUCUGUCAGAUAUUAUUGAUUCAGCAAUAUAAGAAUGCGACGAUGUAGUCCCAGCUACUGGGGAGGCUGAGGCAGGAGAAUGGCGUGAACCUGGGAGGCAGAGCUUGCAGUGAGCCUGGGAGACGGAGCUUGCAGUGAGCCGAGAUCGCGCCACUGCACUCCAGCCUGGGUGACAGAGCAAGACUUCGUCUCAAAAAAAAAAAAAAAAAAAAGUCAACGAAAGGACAUGGGUUUGGAGAGUAACCAGAGAUGCUGCCAAUUAAAGAUACCCCUUACUCAAGACACUUUAUUUCUCUCUGUUGGAACAUUGUCAUAAUAUACUGUCAUCUACUAAAAAAUUACUGUAAUAAAUAUAAAAAUCUUCACUGUCUGCCAUGACAGGAACCGCAUGAGCUGUUAUGCCCUUCUGCAACGCAGAACUUUCCCAACCAUAUAUGGUGGCCCUGAGAUGUGUAGUUUUGCCCUUUACACCUUUAUUUUCUAUUAGUACAUUUACUUUUUAAAAAAGUAUGAACUAUCAUUUGCAAUUUGAAAAACAUCAAAUACAGAACAUUUAAAAAAUAUAUCGCUAGACCUCAAAAUGAAUCUUAAUGGCAAUCACAGAUUUCAACCCUUUCAACCAGAUUUCUGAGUGUCUGAACAUAGAUGUAGGCUCUGAGACUAUGAUUUCUAGCUUGUUUUUCCUAAAUAUUCACUGUGUAAUUGGGACACUAUCACUUAGCCCCUUUGUUCCUUAUUAUAUCAUUUAUAAAUUUUAUAACUAUAUUUUAAUAAAGGUACUUAAUAUCUAGAUAAUAGAUAAAUGGUUUGUCUAUAAUCCCUAAUUUAUAUACAAUAAGUCUACCAACUUUUAUGGUAGAACUUCAUAAGUUUUAAACUAGUAUAAUAUUUAAUUUUUAGUAUAUAAACAUCUGAUGUGGUUUGGCUGUGUCCUCACCCAAAUCUCUCCAUGAAUUGUAAUAAUCCCCAGGUGUCAAGGGCAGGGCCAGGUGGAAAUAAUUGAAUCACUAGGGCGGUUUCCCCCAUACUGUUCUCAUGGUCCUGAGUAAGUCUCCUGAGAUCUGAUGGUUUUAUAAAUGGGAGUUUUCCUGCACUAGUGCUCUUGCCUGCUGACAUGUGAGAUGUGACUUUGCUCCUCAUUCACCUUCCACCAUGAUUGUGAGGCCUCCCCAGCAAUGUGGAACUAUGAGUCAAUUAAACCUUUUUCCUUUAUAAAUUACCCUGUCUCGGGUAUGUCCUUAUUAGCAGCAUGAGAACAGACUAAUACAAUAUCCCAUCAAAUUAUAAAUGAAUCUGAGGCUCUGAUUCAGACAAAGGAUGGAUGGAUUGGUAGUCACAUUUAUCUAUAGAAUAAAACUGGAAUGACAUACAGUACAAUGUUUCAGUGAUUCAUGAAUGGUUGGGAUAUGGCAGUUUUAAUUUUCAUAUUUGUACAUUUCUGUAUUUGGUGAAUUUUGUAUAAUGAUCAUGAAUUGUUUCUGUUGAGAAUGUUGUUGGAACAGUUGGGCUGGGAAAAUCUCUACCUCCCACAAAGUAUUUUGGAGAAAGGAACUGUGAACAGCCUGGAGGAAAAUUUAAUAUUUAACUCAAACAAGUGGCAUCCACUAUAUUCACACUGGCAGAGCUUUUCAGAAUUAGAGUCUUGCUUUCUUUUUGUAAGCAUCAGGAUUGAUUUUUAUAUGUGUUCUAAUCUUAGUUUAGUCCUUUAACCAUUUUUCCCAGGAUAAUAGAAAUGAAAGAAUGUUGUAUUUUGGCUUGCUGAGUUAGAAUGAAUGGAAAAAACUUAAAGGAAGCAGCAGAAGGAACAGUGAGAAUGACAUACAUUUUCUUUUUUUCUUUUUUUUUUUUUGAGAGUGAGUCUUGCUCUGUGACCCAGGCUAGAGUGCAGUAGCACGAUCUCGGCUCACUGCAAACUCUGCCUCCCGGGUUCCAGCGAUUCUCCUGCCUCAGCCUCCCGAAUAGCUGGGAUUAGAGGCGUCCACUACAGCGCCUGGCUAAUUUUUGUAUUUUUUAGUAGAGACAGGGUUUCAUCAUUUUGGCCAGGCUGGUCUGGAACUCCUGACCUCAUGAUCCACUUGCCUCAGUCUCCCAAAAUGCUGGGAUUACAGGCAUGAGCCACUGAGCCCAGCCGACAUACAUUUUCUCUAGAUCACUGCAGCCUAGCUUAAAUAUGCUUCUCUAGGUCAUCUCUCUAUUUCCACCUAUAUCUGUGCAUCAACAUCUCAGGCUAUUAUGUUCUCAAAUCUGUUUUCAAUAUGAAAAUACAGACAUGAGAAAGAGCCAAUGCUGUUCUCAGGAUCUUACAAUUCAUUCUGCAUCUACACAGUCCUGGAGUUCCAAACACAGAUUGCCAUAACAAGAGAAAUUAGCCAGAGCACUAACUGUUUUCAAAAUAACAAUUCAUUUCACUAAAAUCAGUGAAUGGCUCUUUUCAAAGCGUAAUUAUACUUUCUAGGGGAAGACAUUAGGUCUACUGAAAGUAAGUCACCUAAUUUACAGAUACCAAUGAUGAAAAUCUUCUCAAGGCAUUGGGGGAAUAAAAGACAUUAAUUCUCAGUUUGUAAAUGAACAUGAAAUGUGAUGUGCCCACUACCAUGUGGGUGUUUCUCUGCAGAUCUGCUAGUAAGCAGGCAUAAUGUGCCAGUAAGAAGGCAACCUGGAAAACAUAGCCAGGAACUGGGACAACUGGGAAGCUGAUAGAAAGAGUUGUUUAAUGUGUAAGCUGUCGUCUGCACACACAGAAGCAUUUCCAUGGCUAUGAACAAAGGGUAACUGCGGGGUGGUUUAUUAAUUGAAAAUAAAUGUCCUUUUCUUUGUGAAAUGGCUAGAUAUUGAAAAACCAAACACAUGCUAAGAGGACGUGCACAGUCAGCAGAGAAACAUCAGCUUGGAAAAAUCUGCCAACAAGGAGAAAGUUUAGAAUGGAUUGGUUUCCUGUCUCUGCACAACAAAUAAACCACCAAGGGAUUCCCAAGGAUCUAAAUAAUGAACCAAUCUCUCUCUCUCCUUUUCCCUUUCCAUCUCCCUCUCCCUCACUCCCUUCUCUUACGUGCAUCGGAGAAUGGUGAGCAAGUACCUAGGGAACUACAGUAUUUUGGGUCCUCCUUCUGACAAGGCAACUAACACCUGAAAAAAAAAAAUGAAUCCCAUACAUUUCAUACUAAAGAACUGGGGGCUUACUACGAGACAAAAGAAAAAUUAGAUCUCUAGUUCGGAAGGCAAUUUUUUCCACAUCGUUAAAUAAAUAUGGUCAGCAUUCAACAAUUGUGCUGAUGAAGUGAGUAUGUGGAUAUAUUACAGAAUCAAUUUUCUUACCUAUUUUAUUUCUAGGCUCAGCAUCAGGUUGUUAAUUUUGACCCAGCCAUCCCAUUACUGGGUAUAUACCCAAAGGACUAUAAAUCAUGCUGCUAUAAAGACACAUGCACACGUAUGUUUAUUGCGGCAUUAUUC